GUGUGUGUGUGUGUGUGUGUGUGUAGACUCUACAAGGAAGCUGUAUGAGAAGAAGCUUGAGAAGGCCAUGGAGGACGCUCCGGUGGAAGUACCCUCGCCUGAUAAGACGUUCUACAGAGAGGAGGCGGAGGAAGUAACCUACAUCACAUACCACCACAGCCCGGUCAGACAAGAAGUGAAUUCUGAUGUGUGAGUAGAGUCUUUACAACCACACACACACACACACACACAC